GAGUUUGAUCCUGGCUCAGAUUGAACGCUGGCGGCAUGCCUUACACAUGCAAGUCGAACGGCAGCACGGGGGCAACCCUGGUGGCGAGUGGCGAACGGGUGAGUAAUACAUCGGAACGUGUCCUGUAGUGGGGGAUAGCCCGGCGAAAGCCGGAUUAAUACCGCAUACGAUCUACGGAAGAAAGCGGGGGAUCGCAAGACCUCGCGCUAUAGGGGCGGCCGAUGGCAGAUUAGCUAGUUGGUGGGGUAAAGGCCUACCAAGGCGACGAUCUGUAGCUGGUCUGAGAGGACGACCAGCCACACUGGGACUGAGACACGGCCCAGACUCCUACGGGAGGCAGCAGUGGGGAAUUUUGGACAAUGGGGGAAACCCUGAUCCAGCAAUGCCGCGUGUGUGAAGAAGGCCUUCGGGUUGUAAAGCACUUUUGUCCGGAAAGAAAACCUUUGCACUAAUACUGUGAGGGGAUGACGGUGCCGAAGAAUAA
rnacentral:rRNA from 1 species